GACCAACAACUAGGUGACAAGUAUGACAUGAGUUGUCCAAGUUGUUGGACAACUCAUGUCAUACUUGUCACCUGGAUGUUGGAC
rnacentral:pre_miRNA from 1 species